GUCUAGGUCAUUCCCCGCAUUUCAUUAAUUAACUAACUCGUGCAUUUUACAAAUAUUUGCCGAGUGCUAAUAUGUGCCAGGCAUCAUGCUAGGUGCUGGAAUGUGUUGAUGACUGAGUCAGAUGUGGUCCUUGCUCUGUCUAGCGGGGGAGACAGUUACUAAACAUGACAAUGAAUGCAUCAUUAUAAAUUGUGAUAAGUGUUACGAAGAAAAGAACAGGCUGCUACGAGAAGACUUAGCAUAUAAGAGACUGUCAGAAUUUUUUGCUUGAUUGGUGCUGAAUAGAAAAACAUGCGCUUGAAGAGAUGGCCUGGUCAGUUCUCUCUCCUUUCAAAAAAGAAAAUGAGGCUUAGAGAUCUUACAUGAUUCACCUAAAGUCACACAGCUUCUAGCCAUCAACAGUAGCAUAAUUCAAUUGAAUUCAGUUAAUGGAAUUCAGUGGGGUGACUCCAAAGUCGGAUUGCCCUUGUUACAACAUUCACCUUUAUUUUCCAAUAAAUAAUCUCAUCUACAGUCAUCAAGUGUCUGUGUGUGACAACUUUAUAUGCAUGUUUUAAUGACUCACUCACCUAAAUGUGAUAUCCAUAAAUCAGGCAUAUUGAGUAAUGAAAAGGUGGCUCAAACAACAGUGACAGAAAUAAUUUUCAAAGACUUCAAAUUAUUUACCAAGCUAUUAUGUAUUCCUGCAGCCUUUCUUCCAUCUAUAGCCCCUUAGCCCUUCUGGAGGCUGAUGGGCGAUAUGCUUUGCUAUAGUCUUUUCCAGAUCAGUGCUGGAGCAUUUGUCCUCCUCCUGAACCCCAUGUGGCCGGAAGACGCCUGUCCCUGUCAGAAGGCUCUCUGCAGGAAGGCAGAAGGCUGACUCCAGCAUGUGCCAAGAGUUUAAUCGGAGUUUGGCGGAAAUUGGCCACUCAAUAUCGACAGCUGAUAUUGAGAAGUGGAUGGAUCAACACAACUGAAAGUGGUUUAGGGGCAAUACCAGGUGAGCAGUCGAUGGAGUUUCAGGUCACAAAGAAGCAAGGACUUGCACUGCUUUAAAAUAUCUCUAUCACUUUUUGUUCACUUAUGUUUAUAGUGAGCAAGGUGGUCAUAAGUUCUGGGACCUGGGAUUGAAUUCUGGCUCUUCCACCUCCAAGGAGGGUGACUUAGGCCCACGUGAAUCGGAAUCCUUGCUCUGUUCAGCUGGCUAAGGCGAGUCCCGCAAAGCGCUGGCCUCCAGGUGCUUCUGCCAGGCCUUGUGGUGCAAGGGCCCUGCCUCCUCCCGCUCCAGCAGCAGCCCUGGCGAUGCCCACUGCGUUUCUCAGCUCUGUUGGCAGUGGGGGCAGAAGAGGCUGCCUGAGGCCCCCUCCCAGCAAAAGCCGUGGCCACACCUGCAAUGACUGGGUUGCAGCUCUGAGCUGCAAGCAUUGGCUGUGGCCUGGAGACCAGCCACGGGAUGAGAGAAACGCUGUAGGAUCUGCAGGUUGUCUGGAGGGACUCGGGGUCCCUUGGUGAAAAGAGAAACCACUGCCCUUGAGUCAUAAGUAUGAUCAUCCUUUCUUUUAACAAAGGAUAUGACAACGGAGUGACUGGUCAGACUGCAAGGAAGAGGCAGAACCCUUUCACAAUCUUGGGUACGGUUUGUUCUUUGACUGUUAUAUGAGGCAAAACCAAACCAAACAAAAAACACUGCUUCUACUGCAGGGACCAAAAAAGCUUAAAAACGUACUUUCCCAGCCUCCUCUGUGGCUAAAGUGGCCUCAUGGCACUGAUGUAUUCAAUCAACUGGAAGCAGAGGUCAGCUGGGAACUUUGGGGAUUGAUUUACUUUUCUGGAUAAAAAAAAAAAAAAUCGGAAGUUAGCUAGCCUCUUCUUUCUGCCUUGAAUGUCUAGAGCUGGACCUGUCCUCCUGUGACCCUGAAGACAGUAGAGCUGAAAUGAAGAAGGAGGCUGGGUUCUUGAUGACAUUACUGAGCUGCUGCAUAGUAACGUCAUCUAUGCCUAUUCUGGGCUGCUUGUUGAAUGAGAAAAAUAAACCUCUCUCUGGACUUCUUAUGUGAGAAAAACAAACCACACUUUGUUGAAGCCUCUGUUAGCUGAGUUUCAUGUUAUUGCAGCCCAAAUGCCCAAAUAUCAGUGAAACUUAGUGGUGUGUCAGACAGCCCAGAUGUUGAUGAUGUCAUCUGGCCUUCUGAAUACAACUGUGCCUGAGACUAAACCCAAGCCCCUGGACUUUUCAGCUAUUAGAGAAAGAGUAAGUUCUCUUUCUGCUUAAGCAGUUUAGGCUGGAUUUUCUGUGGCCUGGAUGGAAAGACCCCUGAUACAACUAUGAACCAAUAGCAACUAGAUACAUUCUGUUUUCACCUCCUCUUAGUCUCUCCCCUGAUUUUACGGUUAAAAAAAAAAAA
rnacentral:lncRNA from 1 species